AUUGAACGCUGGCGGCAGGCCUAACACAUGCAAGUCGAGCGGAUGAAGGGAGCUUGCUCCUGGAUUCAGCGGCGGACGGGUGAGUAAUGCCUAGGAAUCUGCCUGGUAGUGGGGGAUAACGUCCGGAAACGGGCGCUAAUACCGCAUACGUCCUGAGGGAGAAAGUGGGGGAUCUUCGGACCUCACGCUAUCAUAUGAGCCUAGGUCGGAUUAGCUAGUUGGUGGGGUAAAGGCCUACCAAGGCGACGAUCCGUAACUGGUCUGAGAGGAUGAUCAGUCACACUGGAACUGAGACACGGUCCAGACUCCUACGGGAGGCAGCAGUGGGGAAUAUUGGACAAUGGGCGAAAGCCUGAUCCAGCCAUGCCGCGUGUGUGAAGAAGGUCUUCGGAUGGUAAAGCACUUUAAGUUGGGAGGAAGGGCAGUAAGUUAAUACCUUGCUGUUUUGACGUUACCAACAGAAUAAGCACCGGCUAACUUCGUG
rnacentral:rRNA from 1 species